CAUGUUGUAGUUCACGGUGAGGUCGGGGUAGUUUGAAGUGGCCCCACUUUGCAACAAGGACCUCCGGCUUGGACAGGCAUUCCAAUGCAUUUUAUAGAGUUGGACGUCGGAAACUUCCCACCUCCCAGCACUCUGGAAUGCAGCAUAAAACCAUAGAAAAUGUUUGUGG